AAUCCUGCACCGCGUGAUCCAGUCUACGAUCGCACGUAGGACUGCGAGGAACGGCAGGUUCCUGUAGGUCUGAGUGAUCUUGAAGAUUGAAAGCUCAAAGUGUUCUCAUGUAAUAACGUUUGUAAUCGAAAAUAGAUUACCUUAUUAUAACGGCAAAAUACGCAAUUAAUUCGUGAUAAUCCAAGCGUUUAGCUGUCCAUAUCGGUCAAAAAAAUGCCACAAGCGGGCCACGAGACGACGAACCUUCUGAUGACGUACCUCAUUCUUAUUCUUCUAUUAAUCUCGCUUUGGGUAUUAUACUCGGGGUUGUUUUUUUAAGCACAACAGACAUUCCUCACCAUGGGUUGAAUAAGAGAGAAAACACGUGUCAAAAGGAUGCAUUCAGAGGAGCCAAGAUCGUCACGGACACUUUGCGUUCAGAGUUCACCAGUUCUCAUUUAUUACAUUUUCUACAAACUAGGCGCCUGGAGACAUGUGCUACGCAAAUCACCUUUGACUGUUUAGUGUGUCCGAUUUCCGCGAUGGAAGUUAUUCAAAAGUAUAUUUAUCGGGCAGUAAGAAGAAUUUUGAAAGUUUGUUUCUCCAUCGUGUCUCGCUUCAAUUUCUUUGUUACUUCGUCGUGGAAAUCGGUUAUCUUGAUUACAUCUUCUUCUUAGAUAACUAUAAAUACAUUAUCUGAAUACAAAGUAAUAUUUAUUCUAUCUCACGAGCGUACAUAGUGGUUACAAUUUGCAGCAUUAAAUUGUGUUCAUUUGAAGUCACCGAAAUAAAUAUGCCUGCUUGUUUCGUA